AACGAACGCUGGCGGCAUGCCUAACACAUGCAAGUCGAACGAGAUCUUCGGGUCUAGUGGCGCACGGGUGCGUAACGCGGGGGAAUCUGCCCUUUGGUUCGGAAUAACAGUUGGAAACGACUGCUAAUACCGGAUGAUGACGAAAGUCCAAAGAUUUAUCGCCAGAGGAUGAGCCCGCGUAGGAUUAGCUAGUUGGUGUGGUAAAGGCGCACCAAGGCGACGAUCCUUAGCUGGUCUGAGAGGAUGAUCAGCCACACUGGGACUGAGACACGGCCCAGACUCCUACGGGAGGCAGCAGUGGGGAAUAUUGGACAAUGGGCGAAAGCCUGAUCCAGCAAUGCCGCGUGAGUGAUGAAGGCCUUCGGGUUGUAAAGCUCUUUUACCAGGGAUGAUAAUGACAGUACCUGGAGAAUAAGCUCCGGCUAACUCCGUGCCAGCAGCCGCAGUAA
rnacentral:rRNA from 1 species